rnacentral:rRNA from 1 species
UACGUAGGUGGCAAGCGUUGUCCGGAUUUAUUGGGCGUAAAGGGAGCGCAGGUGGUUUCUUAAGUCUGAUGUGAAAGCCCACGGCUUAACCGUGGAGGGUCAUUGGAAACUGGGAAACUUGAGUACAGAAGAGGAAUGUGGAACUCCAUGUGUAGCGGUGGAAUGCGUAGAUAUAUGGAAGAACACCAGUGGCGAAGGCGACAUUCUGGUCUGUUACUGACACUGAGGCUCGAAAGCGUGGGGAGCAAACAGGAUUAGAUACCCGGGUAGUCC